rnacentral:rRNA from 1 species
GAUGAACGCUAGCGGCAGGCCUAACACAUGCAAGUCGAACGGUAACAGGUCUUCGGAUGCUGACGAGUGGCGCACGGGUGCGUAACGCGUAUACAAUCUACCCCUAUCUGGAAGAUAGCCCGGAGAAAUCCGGAUUAAUACUCCAUAGUAUUGCGAAUUCACAUGUUUUUGCAAUUAAAACUUCGGUGGAUAGGGAUGAGUAUGCGUCCUAUUAGCUUGUUGGUGAGGUAACGGCUCACCAAGGCUACGAUAGGUAGGGGGCCUGAGAGGGUAAUCCCCCACACUGGUACUGAGACACGGACCAG